GCUCGGUCACUCCUUUCCCCAAACUCUGAGGUUGCACGUUGUCCUACUGAAAGCAAUUAUCUCCAUUAUUCUGCCUGUGGGCUUGUGGGUUUCACGUUAGGGGAAAAAAAAUCUUCAUUUUUUUACCUGAAGUCUAAUAACUAUAACUAUAACCAUUUGCACAUUUAACCACAGGGUGUGACAUUUAUUUUCUCUCAUUCCCUGCUCAUGUCCGUUCCCUUGCUGUGCAGCACAAAGGAAUGACAGAACUGGAGCGUGUUCCCGGCUACCCAUUGUGCCAGCCAUCUUUUGCUUCAGUAUAUGGGCUGAGAAACUUUUGCACAAUGAAGCUACAGUGUUUUCCAGUUUGAACAUCAAUCAACAUGCUUAAAAUACCUUAUACCAUCACCAAACAAAGAUGCCUCUGUUCUUGACUGCUGGUUCAGAAAUCCCCUCAGAACUGCUGGGAAUGGAGAUUUUCCUUGGAAAGCAAGGAUGCCCAUGUUACAAGGACUAUUUACACGUGCUAAGUAUGGAUGCUGAGAUUCAGUAAAUAAAUCAGUCAAUCUAUCUUGAAGAAAUGGCCUGAAUCCUCAACUGAAAAAGAAGCAUCUACGUGGACCCAAUGUGCUAAAGAAAUCUCCAUUUCUGCCAAUAUCUGAAGUAAUUUUCUUCAACAUUGUAGAGAGAUAGUUGAACAAUUUGCCUCUUUCUUUCUCCUCCCAACCCCACCUCCAAGCUGGAAUUCUUCCCGCGGUGCAGGGGGUUUCUCAGAAUCAGAAUGUGGGCUUGGCUCCCUUCCUUGUUGUUUACUCUGCCUGUCGUAUCCCAAAAGAGUUCCCAGAAAACUAAGUGGCUAAGACUAAGUGAAUUAAGAAAAAAGGAGCUCUAAGGAGCUGGCAAGGAGUAUGCAUGGCCUCUGAAUCCAGCUUCUGAAUGAAAUGGAGGGAAAACAACCUCCUGGGGCUGAACCACCAGGACAGUUCCAGGAUCCCUGGAACGUUUAAAGUCCAUAAAGUUAAUCCAACGUAACUGGGCUAUUCCUACAGCAAGUGAGUGGAAGACAAGUGUAGUAAGAUUUACAGCCUGCCAAAUGAUUUGGAGAAGAGUGACGGAACAGUAGGGCAGGGAGAGAGAGAACUGCGUCAUAUGCUCCUCAGGGCACGGGACUGCAGAACUGGAAACAGCAGCACUAAGCCCAUUUCUUCGUUUAUAGCAUUGAGGCACACAGAUUAUUUGAUAAAAACCAACCAGUACCAAAUUUAACCUGUCUUUGAGAGAGAGAAACUAUUGAGUUUUUUAAAUUAUUUUUUUCUUUGAGAAGGAAAUAUUUCAAUCAAACAUUCUUCUGAUACAGAUUAAGCUAAAUUUACUGCGGUCUCAAGGAAAUAGGUAACAGCUGAAUUUACUUACUGCCAGGAAUAACCUAUCUGAGAACCGCAAACAGAUGCCUAAAUUUAGGGAGGUUGAGCAAGUAACUUUGUGUUUCUGAAAAAAUCAAACAUGAUUCUUCGCAGCUCGGUUGGUGGAAAUAUAAGCUAUAACUAAUUUUAUGAUAGAAUUUGGAGAAAUUUUGUGGAAAAGUUUAAGGCAGCUUUCUCUAAAGCAGUCAACCGAAAAUGUAACCAAUGAGAAUGAUUCUAUGAACAUGGGACUUAUGACUUGUUUUUAAAUUAUGUUGGAAUGAAAACAGAGUGAUGUUUGAAUCAUCAGUGCACUCAGAAGGAUAAGUGGCCCUCCUCAUGAAGACACACACACAAGAAUUAGGUAAUUAAAUUGCCAGUGCAUCAUUCGUACUUCCUAGGGGCCAUCUGUCCUCUGACUGUCCAGUCUGUUGUCCUGAGAGUAGGGAGCGUCACCAGGCUCUCUCAGUGUCCCGCCCUGACCACAAAGCCAUCAGCUCCCUUAGCCUUGCUUCCUGGAUUAACAUGUCCCCUGCAAACCCUCACUUGCUUUCUUAGCAGCAGUUUAUUUAAUUAUUCUAAUCUGCUUCUGUGACACUUUUAAACAACAAUUCUUAGGUAGCAUUUCUCAUAUUGUAUUAUAGUCACUUUCUUCUUAAAGUAUUGUUAUUGUAAAUCAUAUCACAUAUAUGAAAAAUCAUACAGAUUUAUAUGUAUAGUUAGAAAAUAAACUUUUUUAAAAGUACCCA
rnacentral:lncRNA from 1 species